CGAAGAUACCAGCUGGCUGCAACUGUUUAAUAAAAACACAGCACUGUGCAAACACGAAAGUGGACGUAUACGGUGUGACGCCUGCCCGGUGCUGGAAGGUUAAUUGAUGGGGUCAGCCGCAAGGCGAAGCUCUUGAUCGAAGCCCCAGUAAACGGCGGCCGUAACUAUAACGGUCCUAAGGUAGCGAAAUUCCUUGUCGGGUAAGUUCCGACCUGCACGAAUGGCGUAAUGAUGGCCAGGCUGUCUCCACCCGAGACUCAGUGAAAUUGAACUCGCUGUGAAGAUGCAGUGUACCCGCGGCAAGACGGAAAGACCCCGUGAACCUUUACUAUAGCUUGACACUGAACAUUGAGCCUUGAUGUGUAGGAUAGGUGGGAGGCUUUGAAGCGUGGACGCCAGUCUGCGUGGAGCCAUCCUUGAAAUACCACCCUUUAAUGUUUGAUGUUCUAACUCGGCCCCGUGAUCCGGGGUGAGGACAGUGUCUGGUGGGUAGUUUGACUGGGGCGGUCUCCUCCCAAAGAGUAACGGAGGAGCACGAAGGUUAGCUAAUCACGGUCGGACAUCGUGAGGUUAGUGCAAAGGCAUAAGCUAGCUUGACUGCGAGAGUGACGGCUCGAGCAGGUACGAAAGUAGGUCUUAGUGAUCCGGUGGUUCUGAAUGGAAGGGCCAUCGCUCAACGGAUAAAAGGUACUCCGGGGAUAACAGGCUGAUACCGCCCAAGAGUUCAUAUCGACGGCGGUGUUUGGCACCUCGAUGUCGGCUCAUCACAUCCUGGGGCUGAAGUAGGUCCCAAGGGUAUGGCUGUUCGCCAUUUAAAGUGGUACGCGAGCUGGGUUUAGAACGUCGUGAGACAGUUCGGUCCCUAUCUGCCGUGGGCGUUGGAAGAUUGAGAGGGGUUGCUCCUAGUACGAGAGGACCGGAGUGAACGCACCACUGGUGUUCGGGUUGUCAUGCCAAUGGCAUUGCCCGGUAGCUAAGUGCGGAAAAGAUAAGCGCUGAAAGCAUCUAAGCGCGAAACUU
rnacentral:rRNA from 1 species